rnacentral:rRNA from 1 species
UACGUAGGGUGCGAGCGUUAAUCGGAAUUACUGGGCGUAAAGCGUGCGUAGGCGGUUUGUCGCGUCUGCUGUGAAAACGCGAGGCUCAACCUCGCGCCUGCAGUGGGUACGGGCAGACUAGAGUGCGGUAGGGGAGAUUGGAAUUCCUGGUGUAGCGGUGGAAUGCGCAGAUAUCAGGAGGAACACCGAUGGCGAAGGCAGAUCUCUGGGCCGUUACUGACGCUGAGGAGCGAAAGCGUGGGGAGCGAACAGG